rnacentral:rRNA from 1 species
GAUGAACGCUGGCGGUAUGCUUAACACAUGCAAGUCGAACGGUGUUUUCGGCACAGUGGCGGACGGGUGAGUAACGCGUGAGAAUCUGGCUUCAGGUCUGGGACAACCACUGGAAACGGUGGCUAAUACCGGAUGUGCCGAAAGGUGAAAGGUUAACUGCCUGAAGAUGAGCUCGCGUCUGAUUAGCUAGUAGGUGUGGUAAAGGCGCACCUAGGCGACGAUCAGUAGCUGGUCUGAGAGGACGAUCAGCCACACUGGGACUGAGACACGGCCCAGACUCCUACGGGAGGCAGCAGUGGGGAAUUUUCCGCAAUGGGCGAAAGCCUGACGGAGCAAUACCGCGUGAGGGAGGAAGGCUCUUGGGUCGUAAACCUCUUUUCUCAGGGAAGAACACAAUGACGGUACCUGAGGAAUAAGCAUCGGCUAACUCCGUGCCAGCAGCCGCGGUAAUACGGAGGAUGCAAGCGUUAUCCGGAAUGAUUGGGCGUAAAGCGUCCGCAGGUGGCGAUGUAAGUCUGCUGUUAAAGAGUGAGGCUCAACCUCAUAAGAGCAGUGGAAACUACAUAGCUAGAGUACGUUCGGGGCAGAGGGAAUUCCUGGUGUAGCGGUGAAAUGCGUAGAGAUCAGGAAGAACACCGGUGGCGAAGGCGCUCUGCUAGGCCGUAACUGACACUGAGGGACGAAAGCUAGGGGAGCGAAUGGGAUUAGAUACCCCAGUAGUCCUAGCCGUAAACGAUGGAUACUAGGCGUGGCUUG